rnacentral:rRNA from 1 species
CCUACGGGAGGCAGCAGUGAGGAAUAUUGGUCAAUGGACGGAAGUCUGAACCAGCCAUGCCGCGUGCAGGAAGACGGCUCUAUGAGUUGUAAACUGCUUUUGUACAAGGGUAAACCUGAAUACGUGUAUUCAGCUGAAUGUACUUUACGAAUAAGGAUCGGCUAACUCCGUGCCAGCAGCCGCGGUAAUACGGAGGAUCCAAGCGUUAUCCGGAUUUAUUGGGUUUAAAGGGUGCGUAGGCGGGUUGAUAAGUUAGAGGUGAAAUGUCCGGGCUUAACUCGGGAACUGCCUCUGAUACUGUUGGUCUAGAGCGUAGAUGCGGUAGGCGGAAUGUGUGGUGUAGCGGUGAAAUGCUUAGAGAUCAUACAGAACACCGAUUGCGAAGGCAGCUUACCAAUCUAUAUCUGACGUUGAGGCACGAAAGCGUGGGGAGCAAACAGGAUUAGAUACCCCAGUAGUC